UUUUUUUUUUUUUUUUUUUUUUUUUUUUAUGAUAGUCACACAGAGAGAGAGAGGCAGAGACACAGGCAGAGGGAGAAGCAGGCUCCAUGCACCAGGAGCCCGAUGUGGGACUCGAUCCCGGGUCUCCAGGAUCGCGCCCUGGGCCAAAGGCAGGCGCCAAACCGCUGCGCCACCCAGGGAUCCCAAAAUUUUUUAAAGUUUAAAAAAAAAUAAAUCAUUUGAGGUCCUGAUGGGGUGCGGGGUCCAUGGCUAUAUAUUGAGUGUGUGAAAAUUCACAGAGCUAAACACUUAAGCUAUGCUCCUCUUCCUGGUAUACACACUAAGUAAUACUUCAAUAAAGGUUUUGUUGAACGGCAUCUCUGUCAUGUCUCCCAGACCCCUACCCCUUCACAAAACAUGAGGUCCAAGCUUCUUAACAGCUUGGGGUCCCAUACCACCCCAUUCCCACAUAUUCCUUUAUUCCUCCUCCCAGGCCAGCGAGCACUAAGCCUGCAGGACACGAUGCCCUUCCAGACCGCCAGGCCUGGCCCCAGGUGUGUGGCCACCCUGACCGGAGCCACGGUACAUGUGGCCGCUGACCCUGGACCCUAUCACUACCUCCACGUGUGGCUGCAGAUCCUGGACCCCGUCACUGCCCCUCACGCGGCGCUGACCCUGGACGCUGUCACUACUGCUCAUGUGGCCGCUGACCCUGGACCCUGUCACUGCCCUUCACAGGGCCGCUGACCCAGGAGACCCCGUCACUGCCACUCAGUGGCCGCUGACCCUGGAGACCCUGUCACUGCUCCUCACGGGGCCGCUGACCCUUGAACCCGUCACUGCCCCUCACGGGGCUGCUGACCCCUGACCCCAUCACUGCCCUUCACGUGGCUCUGACCCUGGACCCCGUCACUGCCCCUCACGGGCCGCUGACCCUGGACCCCGUCACUGCCCCUCACAGGCCGCUGACCCUGGACCCCGUCACUGCCCCACACGUGGCUCUGACCCUGGACGCCGUCACUGCCCCUCACGUGGCCGCAGAUCCUGGACGCCGUCACUGGCCCUCACGUGGCGCUGACUCUGGACCCCGUCACUGCCCCUCACGGGCCGCUGACCCUGUCACCACCCUACGUGCGGGUGCUGGCCCUGGAGCCGCGCCCGUGCCCACAUAGGCCUGGCAAGCGGCAGACAAGGUUCCCAAACAUGGCGGGAAGAACGGGGAUUCCGUGCGUUCCUUACAUCCAUCGCUGUGCUGAAACGACAGUGUUGCGGAUACUGUGGCUUAAAAGUGAAACGCGUCAGUAGAAGUAACGUCACCUGUUCUUUCCGCCGCAGCCUGCAGACCUUCCCAGACUCCCGCCGGGCGCGCCGGCCACAGCACCCCGCCGCAGGGCGAGCCCCAGGGCCGGCGGCCGCAGGAGGAAGCGGGCGAGCGCCUCCCC
rnacentral:lncRNA from 1 species